rnacentral:rRNA from 1 species
UCGAGAGGCUUCGGCAAUGGGGGAAACCCUGACCGAGCGACGCCGCGUGGGUGAUGAAGAUUCUCGGAUCGUAAAACCCUGUCAGGUGGGAUGAAAAACCAUUCGGUUAAUACCCGAGUGGCUUGACAGUACCACCAGAGGAAGCUCCGGCCAACUCCGUGCCAGCAGCCGCGGUAACACGGGGGGAGCAAGCGUUGUUCGGAUUCAUUGGGCGUAAAGAGCUCGUAGGCCGCUCUGUAAGUCGGAAGUGAAAGACCACGGCUCAACCGUGGAAACGCUUUCGAAACUGUGGAGCUUGAGGCCGGGAGAGGAGAUCGGAAUUCCUGGUGUAGCGGUGAAAUGCGUAGAUAUCUGGAGGAACACCGGUGGCGAAGGCGACAUCCUGGACCAAUUCUGACGCUGAGGAGCGAAAGCCAGGGGAGCAAACGGGAUUAGAUACCCCGGUAGUCCCUGAGCGGGCUGGCAAGGCGCAU